rnacentral:tRNA from 2 species
GGUUCAGUAGCUCAGUUGGAUUAGAGCAGCAGCCUUCUAAGCUGCGGGUCCCGGGUUCGAACCCCGGCUGAAUCA